UACGUAGGGUGCGAGCGUUGUCCGGAAUUAUUGGGCGUAAAGAGCUUGUAGGCGGUUUGUCGCGUCUGCUGUGAAAAUCCGGGGCUCAACCCCGGACUUGCAGUGGGUACGGGGAGACUAGAGUGUGGUAGGGGAGACUGGAAUUCCUGGUGUAGCGGUGAAAUGCGCAGAUAUCAGGAGGAACACCGAUGGCGAAGGCAGGUCUCUGGGCCACUACUGACGCUGAGAAGCGAAAGCAUGGGGAGCGAACAGG
rnacentral:rRNA from 1 species